AACCGCACGGGAUAAUCAUUUUCCCGUGCGGUCGGGUUAAGUGGACCGCACGGGAUAAUCGAUUAUCCCGUGCGGUC
rnacentral:pre_miRNA from 19 species